UUCUUCCUCUGUCGGACCAGGGGGUACGGAGUGAGAUUGAGCAGACUGCUGUCAUCUGUGUCACAUAGGAGACAAUGCAAGGCAUUAAACCAAGACGGCCAUGAGACGGACACAUCUAACCCAGAUCAGUCACAUUUCUACAGUGCCACGAGAUUCAUGGCCAUCUGAUCAAGUCAUGUGACCUUAUGCGGGCGGGUCCUGUCCGUGGGUGGGUUCUCACAGACUGAUUGCGAGGUUCCCUGAAACGGCUGCUGUUCUAGCGCCACCAGAAGUUUCAACACUGAAUCGCAUGCUUAUUGUUACACAGCAAUUAGCUCGCAUGCUAGAUGAAGGGCACUUUCUACUUUAAUGCAGCACAGCUGACAUGCAGGAGAGAAAACCGUGGUGUGGAACCCCUCCUAAAGUGAAAAAGUGUGUGAGACGCCCACUUCAUUUUCUGUUGCUGUCUCCAGUGAAGAUAAUCCGACUGGUUAAGCGAUGUGUUGCAAAUUUAGUGGGAGCUGCACCGGUUUGUCUGCCCUUGGAUGGAGGUGAGAGUAUUCAUGAAAAUCCUUGCAUUUUAAAUGAAUGUCUUUGCUAAUCUGAUAGGAUGUGCGGCGUCAAAAGCGAGAUUGUGGACAGACGCACGCUGGUCACCCCCCCGCAGGAGCCCGGCUCCGAAAGCACAGCUGUCAGCUGCAAGUCACAGGUCACCAUCUGAUGGAGCCACGACUGGAGACACUCACUGUCCCAUCGACGGACACUGACCAUGAGAAGCGGUCACCAGCCGGGGCUGGAGCCUCUACUUAUAUGCUAGGCAUUCCCAUGGUUUUGCAGAAGGGCUGAUUAAUUUACAUAAAUAAACUAUACAUUUC